AACCCAUGGUGAGGGAACCUUCUCAAUAAAUCUUUGUAUCUCUCCCAUCCAUCAUAAAAUGUUUCUAAAUCCAUUUGUACAAAAGAAGAGAUAUCAUUCCUCAAUUU
rnacentral:snoRNA from 1 species